GACGAACGCUGGCGGCGUGCUUAACACAUGCAAGUCGAACGGAAAGGCCCUGCUUUUGUGGGGUGCUCGAGUGGCGAACGGGUGAGUAACACGUGAGUAACCUGCCCUUGACUUUGGGAUAACUUCAGGAAACUGGGGCUAAUACCGGAUAGGAGCUCCUGCUGCAUGGUGGGGGUUGGAAAGUUUCGGCGGUUGGGGAUGGACUCGCGGCUUAUCAGCUUGUUGGUGGGGUAGUGGCUUACCAAGGCUUUGACGGGUAGCCGGCCUGAGAGGGUGACCGGCCACAUUGGGGCUGAGAUACGGCCCAGACUCCUACGGGAGGCAGCAGUGGGGAAUAUUGCACAAUGGGAGGAAGCCUAAUGCAGCAACGCCGCGUGCGGGAUGACGGCCUUCGGGUUGUAAACCGCUUUCGCCUGUGACGAAGCGUGAGUGACGGUAAUGGGUAAAGAAGCACCGGCUAACUACGUG
rnacentral:rRNA from 1 species